GAUGAAGAAGGUAGCGAAAUGCGAAAAGUUAUGUGAAUUGCAGAAUUCAGUGAAUCAUCGAAUCUUUGAACGCACAUUGCGCCCGCCAGUAUUCUGGCGGGCAUGCCUGUCUGAGCGUCAUUUCAACCCUCACGCCCCUAGGGCGUGGUGUUGGGGAUCGGCCAAGGCCCGCAAGGGACGGCCGGCCCCUAAAUCUAGUGGCGGACCCAUCGUGGCCUCCCCUGCGAAGUAGUAAUAUAUUCCGCAUCGGAUAGCGAUGAGCCCCUGCCGUUAAACCCCCAACUCUUUCAAGGUUGACCUCAGAUCAGGUAGGAAUACCCGCUGAACUUAAGCAUAUCAAUAAGCGGAGGA
rnacentral:misc_RNA from 1 species